ensembl:snRNA U6 U6 spliceosomal RNA
GUGCUUACUUUGGCAGCACUAAAAUUGGAACGAUACAGAGAUUAGCAUGGCCCCUGUGCAAAGAUGACAUGCAAAUUUGUGAAGAGUUCCAUAUUUUU